UAAUGUUAACAUAGUUUCUUCAGAAAAUUGGAAGGUGAUGCAAACUAAAAGAGGAAAUGCACCAGAAAGAGAAGAAACAUAGAAGAAUUGAAGAACAUAGAGAGAAUCCUAGCCUUUACUCAUAUCAAUUGCACCAAUUACAGAGAAUGUUUUCCCCUUCUACAGGUUACCCUUUUAUACCUCUCCCUCAAACUUCCUUCCCCUCAAGGAAGAAAACUGAAAAACAGAAAUUGAACAAACACACUAAGAAAACAAAACUUCUGCUACAACUGUCAACAUAUAUCCAAGUAGUAUCUGCAGUGGAAUGCCUUUAUUUGAAGCAAAAUCCUUGCAAGUUGCAAAAAGUCAAUUGCAUUCUUACAAACACAUGCUGUGCAUCCUUGCUCCAUCCAUUGAACUUCAUUUUUCAUUCUUUCCUCCAUUUCUCAUACUCAUUUUCUUUUAAGAGUUUAACUGCAUCCUUGGCAAUCUCGCAGACCUUCCAUUCAUCAGCGUCAUGAUCAACUUUGUCAACUUGUUCAUGUUCCUUUGCCUGCAUUUCUGCAACCUGUUUUCUCUUCCUCUUCCUCAAAAGUUGAUUUCAUUUGAACUCCAGCAUUUUAUCAAGCAAUUGAAUUGCUUCUGAUUUUCAUUCCAAGGCCUUGCUUCAUCCAUGAGACGGCAAAGUGGCUCUAUCUGAGCUAUUAAUUUUGACAUCAAAGAGUUUUCAAUUGCAGUAUCCACAGAAAAUUGUGGUUUUGCUUUGCAAUAAGAUUUCUAUCUCCUAUAUUCUUGGAAAAACCACAAGCAACAGGGUUAUUGGACUCCCUUUUCCCACAUUCAGCAAAUUCUUUAGUCUUCUUCAAUUUCACCAAUUCUCCUUCGGGCUGCAAGAUUGGUGGGCAAUCUCGCUAAACACUGUCAUUGAUGACAGAAACUUUUUCUAUUGAUGGUCAAUCUUGUUGAACAUUAUCAUUGAUGGCAGAACAUUUUCCUGGAUUUGUUGAUGUUCCUCUCUAUUUUCAUCAUCAUCAGAUGACCUUCUUCAUCUAUGAUGUCACUUAUGAUAGUCACUCUAUUUGGUGCCUUGUCAUAAUCCUUGCUGGUGCUAAAUUGCAAAAUCACGCCAUAAGCACAAGCCCUUGUACUUUCUGUCAUUCAAUUUUGAUAAGUUUUCAUGACUCAGAAGGGAAUAUAAGGGUGUAAUGGAAGGAAAAAGGAGUUGAAUCUUGAUGGAUGGGUACUAUUUGUUAACCAAGGAAAAGAAGGAAGCUAGGAAGAGAAGAUGGAAAAAUGGAUUUGAGAAGAACGAGAACUAGAACGGGAAAGUAGGAUAAUGAGAAAGAGAAGGAUAUGAAAGAGGGAGAACAGGAAAAGAAGGAUUACAAUGAACAGAGAAGAAGGAAGAACCCUAGAUUCAAGAAAGAAGGUUGUAGGAAGAGUUAGUUCAAGAAUUGAGACAGUCUAAAAGUAAGAACAAAAUACAGAAAGAAAAGAUAGAAAGAAUCAAAGAGAUAACAAAAGGAAAGAAAAAAAAAAAAAAAAGAAACCAAAAGUGAGAAAAAUCGGACUUUUCUGAUAUCAUUGAUGCAAACUAAAGGAGGACAUGCACCAGAAAGGGAGAAACAGAAAAACUGAAUAACUUAGGGAAGAAAGGAAUGAACACAGAGAGAAUUCUAGACUUUGCUCGAAUCAGUCCUUCCAAUUACAGAGAAUGUGUUCCCUUUUGUACAAAUCAUCUGUUAGCUCACAUCAAUCAAUAUUAUACAUGUAUCAAAAAUUUAAGGGAAAGAUGGAAACGGAAAUACUCAUAAGUUUUCUGCUGCAGAUUCAUAAUAUGUUGAGAAUGCCACAAUAAAGAAUAUUGAUGUUUGGGUAAUUACUAUUUUUUAGGAUAGUCAACUAUAAUUCUUGAGUAAAAGAUGUAUUUACUAGAUUUAAUGGGACUUAAUUAAUAACCUCUCUCCCUG
rnacentral:lncRNA from 1 species